rnacentral:rRNA from 1 species
CUUUCUUUGCUGGCGACCGGCGCACGGGUGAGUAACACGUAUCCAACCUGCCCUUUACUCGGGGAUAGCCUUUCGAAAGAAAGAUUAAUACCCGAUAGUAUAAUGAUUCCGCAUGGUUUCAUUAUUAAAGGAUUCCGGUAAAGGAUGGGGAUGCGUUCCACUAGGUUGUUGGUGAGGUAACGGCUCACCAAGCCUUCGAUGGAUAGGGGUUCUGAGAGGAAGGUCCCCCACAUUGGAACUGAGACACGGUCCAA